AACUACCGCAGCAGCGGCCUCUCCUCCCCGUCCCUAUCCCUUCGGUCUCCGUCUCCGUCCCACCAGCAUCUCCACCAUCACCACCGUCGCCUCACCGUCGCCGCCGCCGCCGCCGAUGGCCCGCCUCCUCGCGCAGACCCUAACCCUUGCCCGCCCCGCCCCCUCACCCUCCGCCGCCGCCGCGUCCGCCUCCCUCCGCGGCCUCGCCACCAAGGUCGAGGUCAUCGAGAUCGACCUCACCGAGGACGACGCCGCGGCCCCCGGGUCCCCCGCCGCGUCCCCGUCGGUCGAGGUGGUGGGGAUCCGGCGCCUGGAGGAGGCCAUCCACGGCGUCAUGGUGCGGCGCGCCACCCCCGACUGGCUCCCCUUCGUGCCGGGCGGGUCCUUCUGGGUGCCCCCGCUGCGGCGCCCGCAGGGGGUCGCCGAGCUCGUGGGCCGGAUCGCGGCCGCGGGGGGCGCGGAGGGGCUCGUCGGGGCCGCGGGCGGCGCGGUCGAGGUCGAGGUCGUCGAGUUCGACGCGCCCAUGACGGAGGAGGAGGCGCUCUCCUUCUCCACCGCGCGAGGGUGGCCCUCGGCCUCCUACUUCGUCGAAGGAAAUAACGGUGGAUCUCGGGAUCAUUGGGUCGAAAGACGCACCUUCUCAUCUCAUUUUGCCUGUUCAAGGGAAAUCUCCACAUUCAAAGAAGGAAUUGAGGAAAGGUGCAACUCAACCUGAUGAUGAAUAAAGCUGAUUGGUUUGUGCUACAUUGCCAGGGUUCUGUCAAAUUUUCAGGUCAGAUGUGCCAAAAAGUAACUUCUCCCUAAGCACAUUCUCUUUCCAUAUAGUGCAGAUUAGUACACAUGGAAGUUGCAACAAUCGAAUUGGAAUCAUGUCUGGAUGACAAAAAAUGAAAGCUAUCGUGUCACCGGGCUCAAAUACCUUUUCUUGCAGACAUAGACUGAUUUUUUAUAAGCAAUAAUGUUUGUGGCUCUAUGAAAUGUCUGUGUCUCAAUUGCUGUAGCUCAACAUAACAAAAAAAAAAGAGCUGAUGGUCCACAAAAUUUUGGCAACAGGAUUGUUGUGGUUCUGAACUAGCUAACAUUCAAUUUGUGCCUACAGAUUUAGUGAGAUGUUGUUAAUGUGUAUUUUAUUCAUAAAGCACUCCUUAAUUUGUGCAGUAUCCUUCUCCAUGUUACAGCCUUACUGAUCAUAGCUGCUAUGCACUAACUGCUGCCAUGUCUGGUGUUUAUCAUUGUUGCCUGCACCCCAGGUUUCCUAUGAUAUUUUUUGACAUCGUAAUUAAACUGUUAGCCUACAGGAAUAGGCCUCAUGUGUAGUAACAUAGUAUGUCUUCCAUGGAUUUUACAGAUUAGAUAUGGAAAUAUUCUCUUUUUAUCUAUACAAUUAUGCCACAGCACCUCAUCAUGCAACAUGGCUGGAGCAAGAAUGGCUGCUCCUACAUGCUUGGAUGUAUGGGUACAAACAUUUUGUCUUACUAGGAACAUCGAAACCAUGCAAACAGUGAGUUUCUGGGUACAAACAUUUUGUCUUACUAGGAACAUCGAAACCAUGCAAACAGUGAGGUUCUGGUCAUCAAGGCCAUGGAUUGCAGAGGUGUAGUUAUACUUUGCUGGUGACCUGUUGUUGCAUGUGAGGAUCCUACAAAAAAGGCAGUGCAGAGUUUCAUGACUGCCAUGACCAAUGUACAUAUGGAUGGCAAGGACCCCAUUGCUGAUAAACUACUGCAACUGCUACCAUUGAUGUUGUCCCAUCCAUCCUGGAAGAUAAACCAUUGAAACCACAAAUGAGUCGGUUGCAAUGCUGUAAAUCUGGUACGAAGCUCUAGUGUUUAUUGUAUCAACAAGCCCAUGCACCAAGGUUCCGCUUGUUAUAAUAACUAAUAAGCAUGGAGAGGGCAGCUAAAUGUCUGCUAUGGUACUGGACUUGGUAGUAGUCCAGUAGGUGGACUCCAGCAUAGGCUCUAGAUCCGCUUUAGCCCAUCUACGACGAACAAUGUUUGUAAAAUUGGUGUAAGCAUCCUGCCCUCCAUUGAUCCUGAAGACCUGAACUGUUUACAUGUAAAACAUUUUUAAUUAUUGCAAACUGUGUUGUCGUGUGGACAGUAUAGUAUACAAUUAUCCCUGUUGCUUUUGUGCUCUACCCGGGUGAUGUUUACAUGUUUGAUUGUUUGGAGAGCUCA